rnacentral:rRNA from 1 species
UCAUAGAAUUUCUUUAAAUUCAUGAUGUCGUAAGGGAAAAUAAUGAUAUUACCUUACUAUGAGUGUCGUCCAAAGCUGGUGCCAGAAGACUCGGUAAGACCAGAGACGCAAACGUUAAUCAUCUUAAACAGGCGUAAAGGGUUUGUAGGCAGCUUUCACAAUAUUAUUUCUUACAAAAAUAAAGAAGUGGUCUGAUUGAAAGCUAGAAUCAAAAAGAGGUUAUAGUGUAUAACGCCUAGAGGAGGGCUGAUAUCCUUAGAUCCUAGGCAGAAUACUUAGGGCGAAGGCCACUCUCCACUAAUGAUUGACGCUGAGAAACGAAGGUAAGGGUAGGAAAUAGGAUUAGAUACCCCGGUACUCCUUUCUGUAAACGAUGAAUGGUAGUCAUUAGUAAAAUUAAAAAUUACUAGAGACGAAGUUAACACAAUAACCAUUCCGCCUUGUGAGUACAACUGCAAAGUAGAAAACAAAAAAAUUAGUCGGUCUCGAAGCAAACGGAGUGAAGCAUGUUAUUUA